AUGACCGUUGCCUACCGUUUGCUGUCCCGGGACUUCUGUUUCACUCACAGUUUUCCCCAGCUCGUACCAGAUGCGACAAAUUCUAGGGCAGAUGUAUUUCCCUUUUGUGGCUUUUCAACACCAGCGACUCUCACACUAAUACCUUGCAUUACGAUGGCCCUUAGAGUUGACACAGCACUUCUGCACACGUUGCCUCCAUCUAUCUUACCAACUACCUUCGACGGCCAGUGGUAUCACCCACCCUUCCUAAGGGGGGAAACUGAGACGCAGGGGCUCCAGCAACCUCUCGAGGGCUACUCGACCAGGAAAUGGCAGAACUGGGCUUUCUGGUUCCAGGCUUUCUGGCUCCAAAUCCCCAGUUCUCUUGCCUCCUCUGUUAACCCGCUUCCCUCGGCUCUGAGCCCACCCUCCGAAGCUUGGGACAGGAGCUCUCCAAACUGCAUUUCUGCGACUUCCUUGCCAACCGGCUUCUGGUUAGGUCCUGCCAAUAGGGGCUUUUGGAGGAGCCUGGUGGGUGGGAGGAGGGUGACGAGGCCUCCAUUCCCCACCAGCAUGGCUCUAGCAGCAACAGAGAGAAGGCUCCAGCCGCCGCUUCAUUCCUGCAGCAGCGCCCGUCGUGCUGCGCCUGCGCGCAGCUGCCAGCGGCAGCCGGAGUGCCAGUUGGGCUCUAUUCUCUCACGCCCAGGGCCAGGCCCCCGAGAGCGUUUGAGCAUCAGCGGGGCACCUCCCAGCUGCACCGGUGAUCUGAGAACCCAUUGGGUUGUGUCCCUACCUAGAGAUCCAAGCAGAGGCUGGGCCUCCUCCUCAGAGCACUGAUGUCCCUUCAGUCAUCCUCUCAGUCGUGUUGCCAUGAGGAAUAAGAGAGAAAAUGGAGGUGAGACUGCUGGUCCGUUACCUGAAACAUGACUAUUUCAGAAAUCUCCUUACUCUCUCUGUCUCACCCUCAUCCUUUCUCUCUUCUUUUCCUUUCACCUUUCAUUUCACUUUUUCCCUCAUUACCUCCCUUCUUCUACCCGUUCACCUCUUUCCUCCCUCCUUCUUUCCUUCCUUCUCUUCUAAUGUAUCAUGAUUUUCCUUGUGCCAUGUCUGAUGGAGCCUGAAGUGACACCAAAAGAGGAAAUUCAGGCCUGGGAAUCAAGAUCUACAUACAAAAAGACAUCUUGGGAUGUG
rnacentral:lncRNA from 1 species